UACGUAGGGUGCAAGCGUUAAUCGGAAUUACUGGGCGUAAAGCGUGCGCAGGCGGUUUUGUAAGUCAGAUGUGAAAUCCCCGGGCUUAACCUGGGAACUGCGUUUGAAACUACAAGGCUAGAGUGUGGCAGAGGGGGGUGGAAUUCCACGUGUAGCAGUGAAAUGCGUAGGGAUGUGGAGGAACACCGAUGGCGAAGGCAGCCCCCUGGGUUAACACUGACGCUCAGGCACGAAAGCGUGGGGAGCAAACAGG
rnacentral:rRNA from 1 species